CGCUGGCGGCGUGCUUAACACAUGCAAGUCGAGCGGAAAGGCCCUUCGGGGUACUCGAGCGGCGAACGGGUGAGUAACACGUGAGUAACCUGCCCCUGACUCUGGGAUAAGCCUGGGAAACUGGGUCUAAUACCGGAUAUUGACACACGAUGGCAUCGUCUGUGUGUGGAAAGUUUUUUCGGUCAGGGAUGGACUCGCGGCCUAUCAGCUUGUUGGUGGGGUAGUGGCCUACCAAGGCGACGACGGGUAGCCGGCCUGAGAGGGCGACCGGCCACACUGGGACUGAGACACGGCCCAGACUCCUACGGGAGGCAGCAGUGGGGAAUAUUGCGCAAUGGGCGAAAGCCUGACGCAGCGACGCCGCGUGGGGGAUGACGGCCUUCGGGUUGUAAACCUCUUUCAGCAGGGACGAAGUUGACGUGUACCUGUAGAAGAAGCGCCGGCUAACUACGUGCCAGCAGCCGCGGUAAUACGUAGGGCGCAAGCGUUGUCCGGAAUUAUUGGGCGUAAAGAGCUCGUAGGUGGCUUGUCGCGUCUGCCGUGAAAGCCCAUGGCUUAACUAUGGGUCUGCGGUGGAUACGGGCAGGCUAGAGGCUGGUAGGGGCAAGCGGAAUUCCUGGUGUAGCGGUGAAAUGCGCAGAUAUCAGGAGGAACACCGGUGGCGAAGGCGGCUUGCUGGGCCAGUUCUGACGCUGAGGAGCGAAAGCGUGGGGAGCGAACAGGAUUAGAUACCCUGGUAGUCCACGCUGUAAACGUUGGGCGCUAGGUGUGGGGGACUUCCACGUUCUCCGUGCCGUAGC
rnacentral:rRNA from 1 species